AGAGAACAAGACAGACAAUACAGUAGCUAUUUCAGUCAGGUUAUGCUACCUACUCAAGAAGGAGAAACACUCUCACUUUCAGACAUUCAGAGAAGGAGUUGAGAGAAGAUCCAUGAUCUCCAUCUGUGACCUGGUUGUACUCCUACAUCAUCUCCUCCACCAGUUGAGGUGGCAUUGCCCUCCGACUGACACAGAGACUGAAAGACUCCAAAAUAAACAGCACAUGAUCAAAAGAGAAAAAAAGCUACUCACAAU